AUUGAACGCUGGCGGCAGGCCUAACACAUGCAAGUCGAGCGAGCGGCGGACGGGUGAGUAAUGUAUGGGGACUGCCCGAUAGAGGGGGAUAACUACUGGAAACGGUAGCUAAUACCGCAUACUAUCGGAUCACCCAUAUGGGAUUAGCUAGUAGGUGAGGUAAUGGCUCACCUAGGCGACGAGCCCUAGCUGGUCUGAGAGGAGGAUCCGCCACAUGGGGACUGGGACACGUCCCAGACUCCUAGGGAGGCAGCGGGGGGGAAUAUUGCACAGUGGGCGCAAGCCUGAUGAGGCCAUGCCGGGGGUAUGAAGAAGGCCCUAGGUUUGUAAAGUACUUUCAGGCGGGAGGCGUUACCGACAGAAGAAGCACCGGCUAACUCCGUGCCAGCAGCGGCGGUAAAC
rnacentral:rRNA from 1 species